AGCAGCAUGGCAUAGUGGUUAGAACAUUGGACUAAGACUCUGGAGACCAGGGUUUGAUUCCCUGCUCAGUCA